rnacentral:rRNA from 1 species
CUAACACAUGCAAGUCGAACGGCAGCACAGAGGAGCUUGCUCCUUGGGUGGCGAGUGGCGGACGGGUGAGGAAUACAUCGGAAUCUACUCUGUCGUGGGGGAUAACGUAGGGAAACUUACGCUAAUACCGCAUACAGACCUACGGGUGAAAGCAGGGGAUCUUCGAGACCUUGCGCAGAUUAGAAUAGAAGCCGAUGUCAGGAUUAGCUAGUUGGCGGGGUAAAGGCCCACCAAGGACGACAGAUCCGUAGACUGGUCUGAGAGGAUGAUCAGCCACACUGGAACUAGAGACACGGUACCAGACUCACUAACGGGAGAGCAGACAGUGGGGAAUAUAUAGGACAAUGGGCGCAAGCCUGAUCCAGACCAUACCGCGUAGGGUAGAAGAAGGCCUUACAGGGGUAUGNAAACAAGCCCUAUAAAGCUAAAGGAGAACGAGAAAAUUACCAAGCAUGGCUAAUUAACCCGCGAGUAGGGAUAGAACGAGUAACCCCCAACAAG